GGGGGGGGGGGGGGGGGGGGGGGGGGGGGGGGGGCGCGGGGGGGGGUGAGGGGCUGGCUCCUUUGGCGUUGGCGGCGGGCGGGUGAGUGACCCGUGGGUGACCUACCUAUAAGACUAGGAUAACUUCGGGAAACCGGAGCGAAUACCGGCUCACAUGUGGAACCGCACGGUUCUAAAGUGAAAGAUUGGUUUGCUCUCCGCUAUAGAUCGACCCGCGCCGUAUUAGCUAAUUGGUAAGGUACCGGCUUACCAAGGCAACGAUACUUAGCAGACCUUAGAGGGUGAUGGGACACACUGGAACUGAGAGACAGGCCAGACUCCGAAGGGAGGAAGCAGUAGGGAAGAUGCCGCAAUGGGCGAAAGACUGAGGGAGCAACGCCGCGUGAGUGAUGAAGGGUUUAGGCGCGUAAAACUCUGUGAUUAGGGAAGAACAAAUGUGUAAGUAACUGUGCACGUAUUGAAGGUACCUAAUCAGAAAGCCACGGCUAACUAUGUG
rnacentral:rRNA from 1 species